rnacentral:rRNA from 1 species
GUGUGGUGAUCUGCCCUGCACUCUGGGAUAAGCCUGGGAAACUGGGUCUAAUACCGGAUAGGACCAUGCUUUAGUGUGUGUGGUGGAAAGUUUUUUCGGUGUAGGAUGAGCCCGCGGCCUAUCAGCUUGUUGGUGGGGUAAUGGCCUACCAAGGCGGCGACGGGUAGCCGGACUGAGAGGUUGGUCGGCCACAUUGGGACUGAGAUACGGCCCAG